UCCCAGACUCCUACGGGAGGCAGCAGUGGGGAAUAUUGCACAAUGGGCGAAAGCCUGAUGCAGCAACGCCGCGUGAAGGAAGAAGGCCUUCGGGUCGUAAACUUCUGUCCUUGGGGAAGAAGAACUGACGGUACCCAAGGAGGAAGCCCCGGCUAACUACGUGCCAGCAGCCGCGGUAAUACGGGGGGUGCAAGCGUUGUCCGGAAUCAUUGGGCGUAAAGAGUUCGUAGGCGGCACGUAAAGUCUGGUGUUAAAGGCAGAGGCUCAACUUCUGUACGGCACUGGAUACUUGCGAGCUAGAAUGCGGUAGAGGUAAAGGGAAUUCCUGGUGUAGCGGUGAAAUGCUUAGAUAUCAGGAGGAACAUCGGUGGCGUAAGCGCUUUACUGGGCCGUAAUUGACGCUGAGGAACGAAAGCCAGGGUAGCAAAUGGGAUUAGAUACCCCAGUA
rnacentral:rRNA from 1 species